AUACGGAGGGUGCGAGCGUUAAUGGGAAUUACUGGGCGUAAAGCGUGCGUAGGCGGUUUGGCAAGUCAGGUGUGAAAGCCCUCGGCUCAACCGAGGAACUGCACUUGAAACUGCCAGACUGGAGUUCGGGAGAGGGUAGCGGAAUUCCGGGUGUAGGGGUGAAAUCCGUAGAUAUCCGGAGGAACACCGGUGGCGAAGGCGGCUACCUGGACCGAUACUGACGCUGAGGUACGAAAGCGUGGGGAGCAAACAGGAUUAGAAACCCCGGUAGUCC
rnacentral:rRNA from 1 species